rnacentral:rRNA from 1 species
AAUUUUGGACAAUGGGCGAAAGCCUGAUCCAGCAAUGCCGCGUGCAGGAUGAAGGCCUUCGGGUUGUAAACUGCUUUUGUACGGGAACAAACCCUUCUACGUGUAGGAGGCGGAGUGUACCGUAAGAAUAAGGAUCGGCUAACUCCUUGCCCGCUGCCGCGGUAAUACGGAGGAUCCAAGCGUUAUCCGGAUUUAUUGGGUUUAAAGGGUGCGUAGGCGGCCCGUUAAGUCAGGGGUGAAAGACGGCAGCUCAACUGUCGCAGUGCCUUUGAUACUGACGGGCUUGAAUGCGGAUGAGGUAGGCGGAAUGAGACAAGUAGCGGUGAAAUGCAUAGAUAUGUCUCAGAACUCCGAUUGCGAAGGCAGCUUACUAAGCCGUGAUUGACGCUGAUGCACGAAAGCGUGGGGAUCAAACAG